rnacentral:rRNA from 1 species
GACGAACGCUGGCGGCGUGCUUAACACAUGCAAGUCGAGCGGAAAGGCCCUUCGGGGUACUCGAGCGGCGAACGGGUGAGUAACACGUGAGUAAUCUGCCCUUCACUCUGGGAUAGCCACCGGAAACGGUGAUUAAUACCGGAUACGACCACCGUGGGCAUCCGCUGGUGGUGGAAACUUUUUUGGGUGGGGGAUGUGCUCGCGGCCUAUCAGCUUGUUGGUGGGGUAAUGGCCUACCAAGGCUUCGACGGGUAGCCGGCCUGAGAGGGUGACCGGCCACACUGGGACUGAGACACGGCCCAGACUCCUACGGGAGGCAGCAGUGGGGAAUAUUGGACAAUGGGCGGAAGCCUGAUCCAGCAACGCCGCGUGAGGGAUGACGGCCUUCGGGUUGUAAACCUCUUUCAGCACAGACGAAGCGCAAGUGACGGUAUGUGCAGAAGAAGGACCGGCCAACUACGUGCCAGCCGCCGCAGUAAUAC